AAUUCGGUACAGUACCAAACUCUCAACAGGUUAUGCAGCCCAGAGAGUAAUUAAACAGCCAGCAAAAAGGGAAAAGAUUAGCUAAGAAGUAUUUUUCGGAUUUUGUUGUUUUCCAAGUGUAUAUUGCGUGUCUUUUUCUCUCCCCCCACUCAAUAUACCAAACUAGCUGAAGAGAUUUUGCUAUUGUUUGCUUGUUGUUUUGUGCUGAUGAGGAGGCAGGAAUUCAGAAUGGCAGACAGAACUGAAAAUUUAGGGAAAUUGCCAGCCCUCACCAUAGUUAACUUUGAAAUUUGGAAAGAGAGAUUGCUAACAGAUUUAUCAGCCAUGAAACUUAAGGAAUGCUUAACUUCAGAGAAACCCACAGAAGCCAAAGCUCUUGAAAUGUGGGAAGACAAGGAUGAGAGGGCAAAAUCUGUAAUUUACCACAGUUUAAGCAAUGAACAGAUAACCCAUGUAAGACAUUGCAAAACAACAAAAGAAAUAAUUGAAAAAUUGGAGGAAUUCUUUGGAAUUACAUCCCAUCAAUCGCAAAUAGCCCUGAUUGGAGAUUUAACAAGGAUGUGGCUAACUAACAAGAAAGAUGGCUAUAAACAUAUAUCUGAAUUUCUUAAUUUAACUGACAAAUUAAAUGCAACUGGUUUUCAAAUGUCUGAUGUAACAAAGAAAGGAUUUUUAUUAGCAUCCCUAGGGGAGCGUUUUGAAGCUUUUUGCUCAGUUGUAAGUGCGCAAAAGCUAAGUUUUGAGGAAUCUGUUAAGGCCCUGAAGAAUGAAUGCAUUGAUCACAGUUCAACCUCUCCAGAAUCUUCUGGAUCAAAUUACCUGUUUCAAAACAGGAGCCACAGAAAGGCUCCGCCCAUCGACCAAUCACGUAACGCCUGCUGGUCCUGUGGGCGGUCAGGACAUAGGGCAAAAGACUGUGACGCCCACAGAGAGGCUCCAGCCAAUAGGAGCUCUCGCCAGGUUGAACAAAGAGCUAACAAAGGAAAGAAUGUCUCUAGUCACAAGGGAGACAGAGUCACAGGNNNNNNNNNNNNNNNNNNNN
rnacentral:lncRNA from 1 species